rnacentral:lncRNA from 1 species
CAUAUUGCAGUGGAAUUUUUGUCUAUUUCACUUGUUUAUGGCGCAGAGAACUGAUUUUUCAAAAUCGACGACGGUUAAAGACUCAGAUAAUAGGGUCAGUACUGUACUACAUCUGGAAGUCAACGAGUAUGGACUCGGCCAAGUCGGCUUUGAAAUACGAUGAUGAACCAAACAGCUUUUAUACAGCUUCACUAGACGAAGUGAUAGAGACAUUAUAUAACACCGCUGCAAAUAUAGGCAACUACCAUCUGUGACUAUAUGUUGGAGCAAUCAAGCGAUGGUCAAUACCUGUAAAAUUAGUGGUAAGUAGAUCCUUUUAUAUCUCAUUUGUGUCGGUUUUCUUUGAUCGUCCGAGGUUUAUGUUAAACUAGCUAUUAUACCUUGAAUAAAUAAUUACAUCAAACUUUUCGACAAAACGCGAGAAUUUUUCAUCAAAAAUUUUUGAAAAUGACAAAAUAUGUUAGAAAACCUCCAUAAAUGAGAUAUAAGUUAGUUAUAAACCUCCUUCUCGGUUUAUAACUGUAACUUAUUGCAUGUAUAUUUAUAUUGUAUUGUGCUCGCCUCUGUAAUGUGUCGCAUUGUUUGAACACAUCUGGUGUGUGCAACUUAAUAUUUAUUAUAAACUGGAUUGUGCGUGACAAAAAAUAUAGUAACGUUUAUAAACACAAGGAUAUUCAUAGCCUAAUAAUUCGCAAUACUCAAAAUGAUUUUGAUUUUGUUUUUAAUAGAUAGCGAUAGGUGUAAUUGGCAAUUAUGGGCUGUGUUUCUAUCGAUGGCUAGUUCUACUUGGAUGGGAAAACAGAAGAAAAAAAAUUCCAAAAACAAAGACAGAGCUGCCUUACGUUUAAACAGAAAAGCGAUCGACUUUAGUUGGAUUAGGCAGAUUGUGACUGAGUCAGUUAACCAUUCAAUCAAAAUUAUGCCACUGUGCAAUAUAUCACAUUUACUGUAGUAAUAUUUUGAAAUUAUAUUAAUCUUCAAAGUAUAAACCAGUUAAGUUGCAUCCCUCAUGUUUUGUGCACAAAUAUAUUUAUCACAUAAUAGCGUACCAGUACAAUAUUAUUCUAUUGUAUUAUUAUAUUUAUUGUUACUUUAUACUAUGCAGUAUGUAUUAUUGAUGACUGAAUAUACAAACUCCAAUGGCAUAGUUUCUCUUAGCCUGCGAACAGGCUCUCAAGCUGAAUUGAGAGCCUGCAUCGAUGACUAAUAUGAAUUUGAAUAUCUGCCCCGUAACGUUCGUUUUUCCAAAUAUGGAGUGUCUAUCCUUAUAUGAUGUUGUUUACAACUUUCGUGCAAACUAAAUUUAGACCGUGC